CCAUCGUGUUGAGCUAAAGACCUCAGGGAAAUUACUUCAAAUUCAAAGACUAGAGCAGUAAUUAGCAAAGGCUGGAGUAGAGAUGGACUGUUGGGAAGAUGUUGGUCAACAGAUACAAAAUCUCACUCAGAUAAGACGAAGAUGUUACAAAGAUCUGUUAUACAACAAAUGACUAGAGUUAGCAACAGUGGAUUGUAUUCUGGGAAAAUGCUAACAGAGUACAUUUUAAGUAUUCUCACCACUGGAAAGGAUAAGGAUUGAGGUACUGCAUAUGUUAAUUAGCUAGAUUUAGUCAUUGCACUAUGUACAUACAUUUUUAAACGCAGGUUGCACGGUAUACACAUAUACAACUCUUAUCUGUCAGCAUUCAGGUUCUAGAAACCCCAUUUCCUAGGGAACCAAGCUGACACUGGAGCAGUAGUGCUGCGGCUGAGCUGCUGGCACAGAGAUACACGGCCAAGUCCCCCUGCUGUGUGCGCUGGAACUUCAGAGUAGAGAUGGAUGCCUCAGGCCUCUCUGCAGAGAACCGAUCACGGGGAAGCCCUGAUUUGUCUGCUGCAUCCUUGCCUUGGAAGUAAAUUGGAAACUCCAGGCCCUGCCCCAGGCUCUGUCGGUACCAAUAAAGGGCAUUAUGACCUGAAAUUGGAUCAUAUCUGAGAGCUACAUCCUUUCCCUUCUUUGCUACCUUGUGUCUCAGGGACUGGGAGACUCCAGGACCUGUGUGAUCUGUGGAGACAGAAAUUGGGAACUGAAUGAGAAAAACAACUAUAGUCAUCUCUCUCUCUCUCUCUCUCACACACACACACACAUCUCACACACAUACACACACACACGCACACAGGAGACUGCUUGGCGUCUGAGGAAUCACCUGCUCCCAGGAGACAUAUGGCUGCCCAGCAGAGGAGCCUGGUGCCCAUGGCAGGGUCAGGGCAGGAUGGGAGCUUUACCAGAUCAGAGUCACUCCGCUCCUCUGUCUGCUGGGCCUGUUCUCUAGGAUGUGUCAACAGCUCCGCCAACACAAGGCACCAAAAGAUGAGCUCAUUGUCUUUCCUGCAAGUCAGAGUCCCCUGUGCCAUCCCCAUUGAUGCCCCAGCCUCCUCCAUCCCCCCAGUCACACGUGCCCAAUGGGGCUGUCCCAUCACAUGGGUUCCCUCACGAGCGGCACCUCAUGCCUCUCUUCUGGGGCCACUUCCCAUCUUUGUUAACUGUAAUUCAGAAAGGAUACCUUGGUGACAAACUCACCGUGUUUUUUCUUUCUCUAUCUAUAAAUAUAUUUACCUCAAUCUCAAUAUUUAAUGAAUGAGAAUUAUAAUUCUGACUUGAUGCUUAUUUUUAAUCUCCUUUCUUGACUUUCACUGUUCCUUUCAGUCUAUUCUGCUGGGAGAUAGUUAUCUUUUGGGCUACUUUUAAAAUCUUCUCUUUGUCAUUUGUGUUCCGCAAUUUCACCAUAACAUAUGUAUUCAUCUACUUCAUAUUCAUUUAACUUGUUGAAACAGAGGAUUUAGGUCCUGAAACACGUCUUGAAAAUUCUCAGCUAAUGUCUCAUAAUUAUCACCUAUCAUUCUCUCUACUUUCUCUUUGUGACACUUCAAUCAUGUGUAAGAAAAAUGGGAAGUUCCAACAAAAUAUUAUAUAUACCCUAAUACGCUAGAACCCACAAGUGUUUUAUUCCUUAUCCCUUACCUUUUCUUGUUUCCUGUUUAAUUUUCCGUGCUGCAUUCUAGGUAACUUCUUCAGAUCUGUCUUUGACCUCAGUAACAAUCUCUUUUGAAGCAUGUCAUCUUUUCUUCAUUUCCAUUUUGUUUUCAAUGAUAAUCUUAAUCGUUACUGUAUUCUCUUUGAUUAUUUUUUAAUGUUUCCUUGAUUAUUUCUGACAGUCUUCUUUUUCAUGUUCACAUAUCAAUUCGCUUUUGUAUUCCUUUAAAUAUAGCUCUUUAACUUUUAUAUCUUUUUAUGGCAAAAUUCCUUGUCUUCAUACAUUUCAAUUGCUUAUUGUUUCUACUCACUUUUCUUCAUUGGUUCUUGCUUUAGUUGUCUUAAUAGUGGGAAUAUAUUUACCUGACAUUAAUCUGUGGGAUUUCAGAGAGUCCUGCAUUGAGAGUGCAGAACGUCCAGUCCAUAGCUUUUCCAGCUGUCUCCAGUCUUAUCCCAAAUGCACGGGGCCAAGAAUUGUCUGCUGCACUCUGAGUUGCCAAACACACUCCUGGCUUUGGUUCCUGGGAUCAGAACACGCUCUCAGGACAGUCACAAUGUUCCCUCCAGAACACAGUUCUCAUUUUUGUUAUUUUUCAUGACACCUUCUCCAGAAAUUAGCACCUAUAAGGCUGUGUAGUCAUGACUUUCCCUACCUGUUCUUCCAAGAAAAAUUUAUAUAAAUACAUUUUCAAUAAAAAAACUCCUAAG
ensembl:lincRNA